rnacentral:rRNA from 3 species
AGACCCGAAACCCGGUGAUCUAGCCAUGGGCAGGUUGAAGGUUGGGUAACACUAACUGGAGGACCGAACCGACUAAUGUUGAAAAAUUAGCGGAUGACCUGUGGCUGGGGGUGAAAGGCCAAUCAAACCGGGAGAUAGCUGGUUCUCCCCGAAAGCUAUUUAGGUAGCGCCUCGUGAAUUCAUCUCCGGGGGUAGAGCACUGUUUCGGCUAGGGGGCCAUCCCGGCUUACCAACCCGAUGCAAACUGCGAAUACCGGAGAAUGUUAUCACGGGAGACACACGGCGGGUGCUAACGUCCGUCGUGAAGAGGGAAACAACCCAGACCGCCAGCUAAGGUCCCAAAGUCAUGGUUAAGUGGGAAACGAUGUGGGAAGGCCCAGACAGCCAGGAUGUUGGCUUAGAAGCAGCCAUCAUUUAAAGAAAGCGUAAUAGCUCACUGGUCGAGUCGGCCUGCGCGGAAGAUGUAACGGGGCUAAACCAUGCACCGAAGCUGCGGCAGCGACGCUUAUGCGUUGUUGGGUAGGGGAGCGUUCUGUAAGCCUGUGAAGGUGUGUCGUGAGGCAUGCUGGAGGUAUCAGAAGUGCGAAUGCUGACAUAAGUAACGAUAAAGCGGGUGAAAAGCCCGCUCGCCGGAAGACCAAGGGUUCCUGUCCAACGUUAAUCGGGGCAGGGUGAGUCGACCCCUAAGGCGAGGCCGAAAGGCGUAGUCGAUGGGAAACGGGUUAAUAUUCCCGUACUUGGUGUUACUGCGAAGGGGGGACGGAGAAGGCUAUGUUGGCCGGGCGACGGUUGUCCCGGUUUAAGCGUGUAGGUGUGUGUUCCAGGUAAAUCCGGUUCACUUUAACACUGAGGCGUGAUGACGAGGCACUACGGUGCUGAAG